rnacentral:rRNA from 1 species
CCUACGGGGGGCAGCAGUCGAGAAUCAUUCACAAUGGGGGAAACCCUGAUGGUGCGACGCCGCGUGGGGGAAUGAAGGUCUUCGGAUUGUAAACCCCUGUCAUGUGGGAGCAAAUUAAAAAGAUAGUACCACAAGAGGAAGAGACGGCUAACUCUGUGCCAGCAGCCGCGGUAAUACAGAGGUCUCAAGCGUUGUUCGGAAUCACUGGGCGUAAAGUGUGCGUAGGCUGUUUCGUAAGUCGUGUGUGAAAGGCGCGGGCUCAACCCGCGGACGGCACAUGAUACUGCGAGACUAGAGUAAUGGAGGGGGAACCGGAAUUCUCGGUGUAGCAGUGAAAUGCGUAGAUAUCGAGAGGAACACUCGUGGCGAAGGCGGGUUCCUGGACAUUAACUGACGCUGAGGCACGAAGGCCAGGGGAGCGAAAGGGAUUAGAUACCCGUGUAGUC